rnacentral:rRNA from 1 species
GGUGAUAGCCCCGUAUAUGAAAACAUUCGUGUGGAACUAGGGUUGCAACAAGUAGGGCGGGGCACGAGAAACCCUGUCUGAACAUGGGGGGACCAUCCUCCAAGGCUAAAUACUCGUAAUCGACCGAUAGUGAACCAGUACCGUGAGGGAAAGGCGAAAAGAACCCCGGGAGGGGAGUGAAAUAGAUCCUGAAACCGCAUGCAUACAAACAGUCGGAGCCCGCAAGGGUGACGGCGUACCUUUUGUAUAAUGGGUCAGCGACUUACAUUCAGUGGCAAGGUUAACCGAAUAGGGAAGCCGUAGAGAAAUCGAGUCCGAAUAGGGCGUUCAGUCGCUGGGUGUAGACCCGAAACCAAGUGAUCUAUCCAUGGCCAGGAUGAAGGUGCCGUAACAGGUACUGGAGGUCCGAACCGACUAGUGUUGCAAAACUAGCGGAUGAGCUGUGGAUAGGGGUGAAAGGCUAAACAAACUUGGAAAUAGCUGGUUCUCUCCGAAAACUAUUUAGGUAGUGCCUCAAGUAUUACCGUCGGGGGUAGAGCACUGUUUUGGCUAGGGGGUCAUGGCGACUUACCAAACCAAUGCAAACUCCGAAUACCGACGAGUACAGCUUGGGAGACAGAGCACCGGGUGCUAACGUCCGGACUCAAGAGGGAAACAACCCAGACCGCCAGCUAAGGUCCCUAAAAUUGGCUAAGUGGGAAACGAAGUGGGAAGGCUAAAACAGUCAGGAUGUUGGCUUAGAAGCAGCCAUCAUUUAAAGAAAGCGUAAUAGCUCACUGAUCGAGUCGUCCUGCGCGGAAGAUGUAACGGGGCUAAGCCAGUUACCGAAGCUGCGGAUUUGCAAUUUAUUGCAAGUGGUAGGAGAGCGUUCUGUAAGCCUGUGAAGGUGCGUUGUAAAGCGCGCUGGAGGUAUCAGAAGUGCGAAUGCUGACAUGAGUAGCGUUAAAGGGGGUGAAAAGCCCCCUCGCCGAAAGCGCAAGGUUUUCUACGCAACGUUCAUCGGCGUAGAGUGAGUCGGCCCCUAAGGCGAGGCAGAGAUGCGUAGCUGAUGGGAAACAGGUCAAUAUUCCUGUACCGAUGUGUAGUGCGAUGUGGGGACGGAGAAGGUUAGCUCAGCCAACUGUUGGAUAUGUUGGUUCAAGCCUGUAGUCGUGCCUGGUAGGCAAAUCCGCCGGGCUUAGAUGAGGGGUGAUAACGAGGAAGCUUGCUUCCGAAGUGAGUGAUACCCUGCUUCCAGGAAAAGCCACUAAGCUUCAGCUACACACGACCGUACCGCAAACCGACACUGGUGCGCGAGAUGAGUAUUCUAAGGCGCUUGAGAGAACUCUGGAGAAGGAACUCGGCAAAUUGACACCGUAACUUCGGAAGAAGGUGUGCCUUUAGUAGGUGAACCAUUUACUUGGGGAGCCCAAUGAGGUUGCAAAGAAUCGGUGGCUGCGACUGUUUAUUAAAAACACAGCACUCUGCAAAGACGAAAGUCGACGUAUAGGGUGUGACGGCCGUAACUAUAACGGUCCUAAGGUAGCGAAAUUCCUUGUCGGGUAAGUUCCGACCUGCACGAAUGGCGUAACGAUGGCCACACUGUCUCCUCCAGAGACUCAGCGAAGUUGAAAUGUUUGUGAUGAUGCAAUCUCCCCGCGGAAAGACGGAAAGACCCCAUGAACCUUUACUGUAGCUUUGUAUUGGACUUUGAACAGAUCUGUGUAGGAUAGGUGGGAGGCUUUGAAGCGGUGCCGCUAGGUAUCGUGGAGCCAACGUUGAAAUACCACCCUGGUGUGUUUGAGGUUCUAACCUGGAUCCCUUAUCGGGAUUGGGGACAGUGCAUGGUAGGCAGUUUGACUGGGGCGGUCUCCUCCCAAAGCGUAACGGAGGAGUUCGAAGGUACGCUAGUUACGGUCGGACAUCGUGACGAUAGUGCAAUGGCAUAAGCGUGCUUAACUGCGAGACUGACAAGUCGAGCAGAUGCGAAAGCAGGACAUAGUGAUCCGGUGGUUCUGUAUGGAAGGGCCAUCGCUCAACGGAUAAAAGGUACUCUGGGGAUAACAGGCUGAUACCGCCCAAGAGUUCAUAUCGACGGCGGUGUUUGGCACCUCGAUGUCGGCUCAUCUCAUCCUGGGGCUGUAGCCGGUCCCAAGGGUAUGGCUGUUCGCCAUUUAAAGAGGUACGUGAGCUGGGUUUAAAACGUCGUGAGACAGUUUGGUCCCUAUCUUCCGUGGGCGCUGCAAGAUUGAGAGAGCCUGCUCCUAGUACGAGAGGACCGGAGUGGACGCACCUCUGGUGUAUCGGUUGUCACGCCAGUGGCAUUGCCGAGUAGCUAAGUGCGGAAGAGAUAACCGCUGAAAGCAUCUAAGCGGGAAACUCGUCUCAAGAUGAGUCUUGCCGGGGCCUUGA